rnacentral:sRNA from 1 species
GAAACCCUGGAGCCGAAAGAAGAAAAUAUUGUGGCAACUGGGAACACUGGUUGGUGCUCCUGUCGGAAUCGCUUUAAUAGCUGGCAUUGCUAUUCCUGCAAUGAUUAUUGGCAUUCCUGUGUAUGUGGGCCGCAAGAUUCACAAUCGCUAUGAAGGCAAGGAUGUUUCAAAGCACAAACGGAAUUUGGCCAUAGCAGGUGGUGUAACGUUGUCUGUAAUCGUGUCUCCAGUAGUAGCUGCAGUGACUGUAGACACAACAUCAGUAGCAGAAGCAAGACACAACCCAAGCAUAGGGGAGGGAAGUGUUGGUGGGCUGACUGGCAGUUUGAGUGCAAGUGGAAGCCACAUGGAUCGAAUAGGAGCCAUCCGAGACAACCUGAGUGAAACGGCCAGCACCAUGGCACUAGCUGGAGCCAGUAUAACGGGGAGUCUGUCAGGAAGUGCCAUGGUAAACUGUUUUAACAGGUUGGAAGUACAAGCAGAUGUACAGAAAGAACGGUACAGUCUAAGUGGAGAAUCUGGCACAGUCAGCUUGGGAACAGUUAGUGAUAAUGCCAGCACCAAAGCAAUGGCAGGAUCCAUUCUGAAUUCCUACAUCCCAUUGGACAAAGAAGGCAACAGUAUGGAGGUGCAAGUAGAUAUUGAGUCAAAGCCAUCCAAAUUCAGGCACAACAGUGGAAGCAGUAGUGUGGAUGAUGGCAGUGCCACCCGAAGUCAUGCUGGCGGUUCAUCCAGUGGCUUGCCUGAAGGUAAAUCUAGUGCCACCAAGUGGUCCAAAGAAGCAACAGCAGGG